CCCUUAGAUGUCCUGGGCCGCACGCGCGCUACACUGAGUGUCUGAGAUACGAGUCUGCCUGGUCCGGCAAGGUGUAGGUAAUCGCUAAAAGACACAUCAUGCUUGGGAUAGAUUAUUGCAAAUAUUAAUCUUGAACGAGGAAUUCCUAGUAAGCGCAAGUCAACAGCUUGCGUUGAUUACGUCCCUGCCCUUUGUACACACCGCCCGUCGCUACUACUGAUUGGAUGUUUAAGCGAGGUUCUCGAACUGCUAGCGACUUAGCUUCGGUGAGGUCGCAGUGUGGGAAGUGAACCUAGCUUUGGUGUCUAGAGGAAGUAAAAGUCGUAACA
rnacentral:rRNA from 1 species